rnacentral:lncRNA from 1 species
UUAACAUAGAAAAGCAGUUUCAAUUUACAACCCAGGUGCAAAGCUUCAGAAAAGGGUUUUUGGACAACAUUUUCAUGGGUCCAUUUUGCUGUCUAGGCCUGAUGUUGACCCCUUUACACAGUCCUGCUUUGCUUUGAGCCUUUCUAAACAGUGUUUCAUUUAAGCUCCAUCUAAACAAUGGAAUUGUUUAAAUUCCAUUCCACAAUCCUGUAACUGUAUCUUUUCCUUCAUUUGGUUAAAUGCCCCAUGGUGUUUCUGGUGUGCAGCGCCCCUUACUGCAAUGAAUCAAUACACCUACUUUUGCUGGGCUACAGGUUUAUUUCGGGUGAUUUCAGGUUGACCGGGCUUGGACACUGUAUUGCUCAGCUUCAGGUCUCCUAAAAUGCAAAUUUUUAAAACAGAUGUAACAACGCAUUUUUUUCACUCCUAAAUGUACAUGCACCUGUCCACCAUGCCAGGUAGGCAUGCAUAGAACUACUAUGCCAAUUUGUCAUAACUGGGAUUGGUUCACACAUCUGAAAGUUUACAGGAACAAGAAAGGAAGUCAGAUUUGGGGGUAGCUUUUGGUUCACUUCUUGAACAGGCUCAAUUUUCUUUCUCUUUGGGGCCCCAGACAUUUUGUCUGAUAAACUAAUGCCACCAUCCCUCAUGAGUGAGAAAAAAACGAGACACAUCUACUCAGCUGCAGCUGACAGGAAUACUGGGGUCCAGCUGGUUACAAGUGGACGGCUCUGGCCACAGUGACACGCGCAGGUACUCUACAAACACUGCAGGGAAGUGGGCGUGCUGCUGCUCUUCCCCACGUCCUCCAGCUGGGACCCGGGACCUGUGCAACCCCUCUGCUCGGGGCCUCGGGGCAGGAACCCGAAGCGGAGAGUACACCUUGCCCCUCACAUCUGUCUCUUGCCACAGCAAGAGCAGUGAGGCGCGGUUCAGGGGGACACAACCUCCAAGGCAGCUCGCACGAAGGACCAGCGGAAUCCCUUAAACGUGAGCGCCUCUGGCCGCCAGCUUUGUUGCAAGGGCGCACCUAGGCUCAACCUCCGUCUUGGCGAUUGGACGAGCAGCUACGGCGUAGGUCCGCAGGGGGAGGCCCGAAUAGACCGCCGAGCGGCACCAAGACGCCAUGUUGAAUCCUGGCAUCCCCCACGAGUUGCCGUUCCUGCCGGUGAUUGGACGAGCCAGUUGGUUCUCCCAGAAGGGGCGCAGCCCGCCAACCCGAGCUCUGCAUGUGCUGGUCUGGUUAUCUGGUUUCUGAGGUCUGUAGUUGCUAAUGAUUGUCUUGUUCAUUCCUGGACUACUGCGACCUCACGAGGUAGACAAGGCUUUCUUAGAGCUUCGAAGAAACCUGAAAACUGCCUGGGGCUGCUCGGGAGGGGAUCUUGAGAUGCUUCUUCAAGGACACGCUGUCGUUCUCUAGGAAGAAAAAGUUGGGAGCACAUUCUAGGAAGAGGGGGCCCAGCUGCAGGAAAAGUCGCCAGAAUUGUAGCUAUAGCGGGAUUAGGGAUGAGGGACACAGAAUGCCCAGAGAGAAAAACCUAGCAAGGUGUUGGGGUAAGCUUGUGGAGGGCCUUGAAUGCCAGGCUAGGGAGUUUGGGCUUUAUCCUAUAGACUAGGGAAUAAAAAUGAACAUUAGGAGGAUUUUAGACAGAGAUGACAUAAUCAGAUAAUUAACUUUAGAAAAAUAAUUCUGUUCCUGUGUGGAGUAUCCAAAAAUGUUUCCCAAAGUGUGUUCAGUGAACCAGUAGGGGAGCUUGUUUUUAAAUGCAGGUUCUGGACUCUCUCCACACCUGCAUAUCAUAUUCUCUGCUUGUAGACCUAGGAAACUCCAUUAAAAAACAUUUAAGUUAACAUAUAAUUGGGGAAAAGAAAUGCACAAAUCAUAAGGGUAGAGCUCUGAAUUUUCACAAGCUGAACACACUCAUGUAACAAAUAUCCAGAUGAAGAAACACCACCAGCAGUUCAGAAGCCCCUCUUCCCCUCCAGCCACUGCUGCCUGCGACAAGGGUAAACACAAUCAUUACUUCUAACAACCAUAGAUUAGUUCGCCUGAUUUGAACUUUAUAUAAAUGAAGUCACAGCAUAAACUCUUUGUGUCUGAUUUAUUUCAGCUGUGUAUAAAUUCAUCCAAAUUGUUCUGUGUAGUUGCUGUUUGACUCCACUGCUACAGACUUCCACAGUUUAUCCAUUCUCUUGUUUAUGGGCCUUGGAUAGUUUCCAGUUUGGGGCUACUACCACAAAAGUGUUGUUAUGAAUGUUUUUAUUCAUGUCUUUUGCUUUGUAAAUUAUAAAGCAAGAUACCAAGGCCUAAAGACUAAUUCAUUCACACCCACUUAUUGAGCCCCUUAUCAGGCAUUAUGCUAAGAAAAGAAGAUGGCCAAGGUCCUGCCCUCAUGGAACUUAUUCCAUUUGGCACAAAACUAGAACUUAAGUGAAAAGAAAAGUAAGUCAAACAAUUGCAAUUGUGGUAAUAGCUCUGAGGGACAAAAGGCUGAGCUAGCAGGAAGGGAAAUGACCUAUUUCUUUUAUGUGGUAGUCCGGCUAAGUCUCUCACAAGAGCUACUAGAAAAAAAUACAAGAGAUGAGUUGGCACUGCCAUGAGAUAAGUACAAACAGAGGGAAGAGCAUUCCUCAGGGGAGACACCAGGUGCAAAAGUCAUAGAGCAGGAGACAGCUUAGCCUGUUCAAGACCAGUGUGGCUGAAGCACAAUGAAGGGGAACGGGGCUAGCAUAAGGUCUUAAAGAAAAGGACUGAAUACAUCUGGGAAUUGUCAGCACAAUGAUCACUACCAUAAUCAAGUGAUGAAAGGCAACAAAGAGAUAUCCUGCAUGUGUUCUGAUGUGGUGGAUCAAGGGCACCACACUUCUACCAAAAAUGCAUAAUCUCAAUCUAAUCAUGAGGAAAACUACAAUAAAUCCAUAUUGACAGACAUUCUACAAAAUAACUAGCCUGUAUUUAAAAAACGUCAGCACUAUGAAAGACAAGGAAAAGCGAAAGAAUCACUACGAAGUUUUUAAAAACUAGACAUGAUAACUAAAUGCAACUUGUAAUCCUCCAUUAGAUCAUGGGCCAGGAAAAAAAAUUUUUUCAUUUGCUUUGAAGGACAUAAGUGGGACAACUGAUAAUAUUUGAAUAAGGACUGCAAAUUAUAGUCUAUAUACCGUUAUUAAUUUCCUGAUUUUGAUCUUUGUUCUGAAUACGUAAGAUAAUGUCCUUGUUUUUAGGAAAUAACAUAUUUAAAUAUGUAGAGAUAAAGGAACGUGUCUGCAAUUUCCUCUCAAAUGGUUCCUAAAAUAACCGAUAGAACGAUAAAGUAAACAUAAAAUGUUAAUGUUUGGGGAAUCUAAGGAAGAGUUUAUGGGAAUUAUUUGUAGUCGUUUUGUAACUUUUCUCUAAACCUGAAUUACUUUAAAAUGAAAGGUUAAAAAAAUUACUAGGGUCACUUAGGGAGAGGGAAAAAACAAUACUAAGCCACGAGCAACAACAUUUAGACAAAAACAAACAGAGAACUGACUAAUAGAAGGAAAGAUGCAAGAAUGUUAAAAAACGAAGUCAAAUGGAAUGCGGACAGAAUUACAUUGGACGUCAUAGCUUCGGUGCUCUUCUUCACCCUAAAAUUCUAAGAGAUGACCUUCCUGCACGUCACCCGCAAGAUCACCGAAACCAAUCCCUCGACUCACGUCCGGGAAAGAACACGCCAACUGUGG